rnacentral:rRNA from 2 species
UUCUCAGGACGAACGCUGGCGGCGUGCCUAAUACAUGCAAGUCGAGCGCGGGAAGCAGACUGAAGCCUUCGGGCGGACGUCUGUGGAACGAGCGGCGGAUGGGUGAGUAACACGUGGGCAACCUGCCUGUAAGCUCGGGAUAACUAGCGGAAACGCUAGCUAAUACCGAAUAACGCUGCGCACCGCAUGGCGCGCAGAUGAAAGGCGGCGCAAGCUGCCACUUACAGAUGGGCCCGCGGCGCAUUAGCUAGUUGGUGGGGUAACGGCCUACCAAGGCGACGAUGCGUAGCCGACCUGAGAGGGUGAUCGGCCACACUGGGACUGAGACACGGCCCAGACUCCUACGGGAGGCAGCAGUAGGGAAUAUUCCGCAAUGGGCGAAAGCCUGACGGAGCGACGCCGCGUGAGCGAUGAAGGUCUUCGGAUCAUGUACUCUGUUGUUAGGGAAGAACAAGUACCGGAGUAACUGCCGGUACCUGACGGUACCUACCAGAAGUUGGAUCG